rnacentral:rRNA from 1 species
GGAAUCUUCCACAAUGGGCGCGAGCCUGAUGGAGCAACACCGCGUGAGUGAAGAAGGGUUUCGGCUCGUAAAGCUCUGUUGUUAAAGAAGAACACGUAUGAGAGUAACUGUUUAUACGUUGACGGUAUUUAACCAGAAAGUCACGGCUAACUACGUGCCAG